UACGGGGGGAGCAAGCGUUGUUCGGAUUUACUGGGCGUAAAGGGCGCGUAGGCGGCCAGCACAAGUCAGUUGUGAAAUCUCCGAGCUUAACUCGGAACGGUCAAAUGAUACUGUGCGGCUAGAGUGCAGAAGGGGCAACUGGAAUUCUUGGUGUAGCGGUGAAAUGCGUAGAUAUCAAGAGGAACACCUGCGGCGAAGGCGGGUUGCUGGGCUGACACUGACGCUGAGGCGCGAAAGCUAGGGGAGCGAACGGG
rnacentral:rRNA from 1 species